rnacentral:tmRNA from 1 species
GGGGGCGUCCUGGCUUCGACGCGGGCGAAUCCGAUGGGUUGGGUAGCAAGCCGAGGAUGCUGGUGGGCCUCGUAAAUCAUCCAGCAAACACCAAAUGCGAAGUCCGAUCUGGAUCUCGCGCUCGCUGCGUAAUCUGAUUACGUAACGGGUGGCCCCUCCGGGCCUCCGCGGAGGGUGUCCUUCAGAAGGAGGCUUGCCUGGUGGCCGGGGGGUCCGUGCCGGCCACAGGGGACUCCAACGACGGGCUGGCCAGCGGAGCACCGGCCUGCGUGGUGCAACGCGGCGAGACACUGAACGCAGGCUGAGCUUGGAGAAGCCCUUCCUGUCGCGUCCGUGGACGCGGGUUCGAUUCCCGCCGCCUCCACUA